UAGUGUUACAACUCUUAGAAUUUGUCUAGUAGGUUUUACAGUCCUCACCAGAAGACUCCU
ensembl:snRNA U7 U7 small nuclear RNA